GUGCUCACUUCGGCAGCACAUAUACUAAAAUUGGAAUGAUACAGAGAAGAUUAGCAUGGCCCCUACAGAAGGAUGACACACAAAUUUGUGAAGCAUUCCAUAUUAAA
rnacentral:snRNA from 2 species